UACGAAGGGGGCUAGCGUUGCUCGGAAUCACUGGGCGUAAAGGGUGCGUAGGCGGGUCUUUAAGUCGAGGGGUGAAAUCCUGGAGCUCAACUCCAGAACUGCCUUUGAUACUGAAGAUCUUGAGUUCGGGAGAGGUGAGUGGAACUGCGAGUGUAGAGGUGAAAUUCGUAGAUAUUCGCAAGAACACCAGUGGCGAAGGCGACUACCUGGCCUGUUCUUGACGCUGAGGCGCGAAAGCUAGGGGAGCAAACGGG
rnacentral:rRNA from 1 species